CCUUUAGCCUUUUCACCUCCCUCCUCCUCUCGCACUUCUCUCCAGCCGUGUUCUCGUUUUGGUUGCCAGUUCCUUUUUUCCCCCCGUCCAGCGCUCCCACUAAAAGGACUUGGAGGCUUGGUGAUUCCCUUGGGAAGCCCUCAAGGGAAUUCCUGAUGUACACUGGAACCCGGGUCUCCCUCGGAGCACAAUGCAGUGCUUCAGGAAGCAGCCCAAGCUGAGCAAAUCUCAAGAAAUUCUGCUGGUGGAAGAGAGCCGGAAAGUAGCUACUUUGAAUGGGCAAAGGCUAGGUUUGCAAGACGACCAUGACCUCAAGUUCCUGCUGCGGGGAAGUCACCUCUUAAAAGUCAAGUCCACUUCCUGGAGAAGAGAGAGGUUUUACAAGCUCCAGGAAGACUGCAAGACCAUAUGGCAGGAAUCCAAGAAGAUGCUUCGAUCCCCAGAGUCACAGCUUUUCUCCAUUGAAG